rnacentral:rRNA from 1 species
GCAGCCGCGGUAAUUCCAGCUCCAAUAGCGUAUAUUAAAGUUGUUGCAGUUAAAAAGCUCGUAGUUGAAUUUCGGGGUUAGUAGGCUGGUCAUGCCACCGGUAUGUACUGGUCUUUCUGAUUCCUCCUUCCUGAUGAACUGUAAUGCCAUUAAUUUGGUGUUGCAGGGAAUCUGGACUGUUACUUUGAAAAAAUUAGAGUGUUUAAAGCAGGCUAACGCUUGAAUACAUUAGCAUGGAAUAAUGAAAUAGGACGUUCGAUCCUAUUUUGUUGGUUUCUAGGAUUGACGUAAUGAUUAAUAGGGAUAGUUGGGGGCAUUAGUAUUCAAUUGUCAGUGGUGAAAUUCUUGGAUUUAUUGAAGACUAACUACUGCGAAAGCAUUUGCCAAGGAUGUUUUCAUUAAUCAAGAACGAAAGUUAGGGGAUCGAAGACGAUCAGAUACCGUCGUAGUCUUAACCAUAAACUAUGCCGACUAGGGAUCGGAUGAUGUUAAUUUUUUAAUGACUCA